AUUGAACGCUGGCGGCAUGCCUUACACAUGCAAGUCGAACGGUAACAGGUCUUCGGAUGCUGACGAGUGGCGAACGGGUGAGUAAUACAUCGGAACGUGCCCGAUCGUGGGGGAUAACGAGGCGAAAGCUUUGCUAAUACCGCAUAAGAUCUAUGGAUGAAAGCAGGGGACCGCAAGGCCUUGCGCGAACGGAGCGGCCGAUGGCAGAUUAGGUAGUUGGUGGGGUAAAGGCUUACCAAGCCUACGAUCUGUAGCUGGUCUGAGAGGACGACCGGCCACACUGGGACUGAGACACGGCCCGGACUCCUACGGGAGGCAGCAGUGGGGAAUUUUGGACAAUGGGCGCAAGCCUGAUCCAGCCAUGCCGCGUGCAGGAUGAAGGCCUUCGGGUUGUAAACUGCUUUUGUACGGAACGAAAAGCCUUCUUCUAAUAAAGGGAGGUCAUGACGGUACCGUAAGAAUAAGCACCGGCUAACUACGUGCCAGCCGCCGCCGUAA
rnacentral:rRNA from 1 species